rnacentral:rRNA from 1 species
GACGAACGCUGGCGGCGUGCUUAACACAUGCAAGUCGAACGGAAAGGCCCUGCUUUUGUGGGGUGCUCGAGUGGCGAACGGGGGAGUAACACGUGAGUAACCUGCCCUUGACUUUGGGAUAACUUCAGGAAACUGGGGCUAAUACCGGAUAGGAGCUCCUGUUGCAUGGUGGGGGUUGGAAAGUUUCGGCGGUUGGGGAUGGACUCGCGGCUUAUCAGCUCGUUGGUGGGGUAGUGGCUUACCAAGGCUUGGACGGGUACCCGGCCUGAGAGGGUGACCGGGCACAUUGGGACUGCGAUACGGCGCAGACUCCUACGGGAGACAGCAGUGGCGAAUAUUGCACAGUGAGAGGAAGCCUGAUGCAGCGACGCCGCGUGCGGAAUGACGGCCUUCGGGUUAUGAACCGCUUUCGCCUGUGACGAAGCGUGAGUGACGGUACUGGGAGAAGAAGCACCGGCUAACUACGUG